rnacentral:rRNA from 1 species
GGAGGGUGCAAACGUUGUUCGGAAUCACUGGGCGUAAAGGGCGCGCAGGCGGACCUGUAAGUCAGGAGUGAAAACUCGGGGCUCAACUCCGAGCCUGCUUCUGAAACUGCAAGUCUUGAGGGCCGGAGAGGAGAGUGGAAUUCCUAGUGUAGCGGUGGAAUGCGUAGAUAUUAGGAAGAACACCAGUGGCGAAGGCGACUCUCUGGACGGUUCCUGACGCUGAGGCGCGAAAGCUAGGGGAGCAAACAGGGAUUAGAUACCCUGGUAGUCCUAGCCGUAAACGAUGAGUGCUAGGUGGUGGUGGUUCCAACGCCUUCACUGCCGGAGCUAACGCAUUAAGCACUCCCCCCCUGGGGAGUACGGCCGCAAGGUUG